AGGACAAAGAUGUCUGCGGAUGUAGAUUUCUUUGGAAACACAGACUGUGACGUCUCAGAACCAUCAGCUUGCAGUUUGCUCAUCUUGUCUUGAUCUCUGUGAAUGUCACUGGCUUACGAUUACAUGUCCAGUUAGACAUUUCUUCAGUUAUGGAAGACUGCUGGAUGCGGUUAGAUGUGUGGUCGGGCUCUUUCUCAACGCUUUUAGUCAUGCAGAUCUUCUCCUCCUGCCUUGUAACAAUUUCCAGAGAAACUGUAAGGAGCAGGAGACCGGCCAUUAACAGGGGAAGGGUCUCCAGAAACAACUGCCUGGAGGUGUACCGACAAUGGCCACCCAAAGUAAAACGGGAAAGACAAGAAAUCGGUGACGUCAGAAGUCAAAGCUGUUUCAGAAGCACAGAGUGACUUUUGGGUCUUUGGAAAAAUGUGUUCUGAUCUGUGAAUUGUUCACAAUGAGACCAAGAACGUAU